GUAAACGGCGGCCGUAACUAUAACGGUCCUAAGGUAGCGAAAUUCCUUGUCGGGUAAGUUCCGACCUGCACGAAUGGCGUAACGAUCUCCACACUGUCUCGGCCAGAGACUCGGUGAAAUUGCAGUCGCGGUGAAAAUUCCGUGUACCCGCAGAAAGACGGAAAGACCCUGUGCACCUUUACUAUAGCUUGACAUUGGAUUUUGGGCCUGCAUGUGUAGGAUAGGUGGGAGGCUGUGAACCCUGUACGCCAGUAUGGGGGGAGCCAUCCUUGAAAUACCACCCUUGCAUGUUUAAGAUCCUAACUUCUUCCGGUUAUCCCGGAGAAAGACAGUGUCUGGCGGGUAGUUUGACUGGGGCGGUCGCCUCCUAAAGUGUAACGGAGGCAUGCAAAGGUUCCCUCAGCCUGAUCGGAAACCAGGCGCUGAGUGCAAACGCAUAAGGGAGCUUGACUGUAAGAGAGACAUCUCGAACAGGAACGAAAGUUGGCGUUAGUGAUCCGGUGGUCCCGAAUGGAAGGGCCAUCGCUCAUUGGAUAAAAGGUACGCCGGGGAUAACAGGCUGAUCGCAUCCAAGAGUUCACAUCGACGAUGCGGUUUGGCACCUCGAUGUCGGCUCAUCACAUCCUGGGGCUGAAGCAGGUCCCAAGGGUACGGCUGUUCGCCGUUUAAAGUGGUACGCGAGCUGGGUUUAAAACGUCGUGAGACAGUUUGGUCCCUAUCUUCUGUGGGCGCUGGAGAAUUGAAAGGGCCUGUCCCUAGUACGAGAGGACCGGGAUGGACGCACCCCUGGUGGACCUGUUGUUCGCGCCAGCGGCAUAGCAGGGUAGCUAUGUGCGGAAGGGAUAACCGCUGAAAGCAUCUAAGCGGGAAGCCUGCCUCAAGAUAAGUUCUCCCCUCGAAAGAGCUGAAGGGCCCGGGUAGACUACCCGGUCGAUAGGCUGGAGGUGUAAGCGCGGCGACGUGCUCAGCUGACCAGUACUAAUAGCCCGAGCGGCUUAUUUUU
rnacentral:rRNA from 1 species